CUUCAUCGACCUCAUGGGGGUCGAAACAAUGGAUGACGUUUCAGGUACGGCGUCAACCCAGGAGGAGAUGAAGAGCGGGAGCAAAACACUCAUUUUUGAGAGCGUUUCUCAUGGAUAUGGCCAGCAAGGGUUCCAGCACAUCUUAUCGGAACAGCAAACUGACCCAUUAUUUACACGAGAUAAAGAAGAGAACUCCAGCAAUGAAGAUGUUUUAUCAAACCUGCAAAAACAUCUACCAGAAUAACUCUAGAUGUAUUAGAGUUCUCAAAAAGAUUGCAAAAAUAACAAGUUAACACCACAUGAAUGAAUGGACCACAUGAAUGACUUCGUCCAAUCAAGACGAGUUGAAGAGUUGAAACCGAAGUUCUACUGAACUUAAUGGAUCCUGCAGCCUCUCCCGAGACACAAACCAGGGUUUUACACAACUCCCCCAUGCACUCGAGCUAUGUCAAUAGGCCGUUUUCCCUCUUCGCUUUACUUCAUUACAAUAGAUAAAGGCAGCGUCUGGAAUGAUCUCCGACGUAGGUCCCUUGGUUCAGAGAACAAAGUUAAAAUACGGGCAGAGAGAGAAAGGGGGUGAAGGACGAGAACAAGAACCCCCCCCCCCCGUAUUACAAUGGCUCAUUGCUCUUCAUCGACCUCAUGGGUGUCGAAACAAUGGAAGAUGUAUCUGGUAUGGCGUCAGCAACCCAUGAGGAGAUGAAGAGCGGGAGCAAGACGCUCACAUUUGAGUGUUUCUUGAAGAUAUGGCAAGCCAAUAUAGACCUCUCCUUCACCUUGGGAGAGAUCCAUCUCACAAAUAUCAACGAUGUGACAACAGGCAAAAAAUGCAAAGAUUUAAAUAGUUUGCAAGUAA